rnacentral:rRNA from 1 species
AGCAUAUCAAUAAGCGGAGGAAAAGAAACCAACAGGGAUUGCCCCAGUAACGGCGAGUGAAGCGGCAACAGCUCAAAUUUGAAAUCUGGCUCUCGGGCCCGAGUUGUAAUUUGUAGAGGAUGCUUUUGGUGAGGUGCCUUCCGAGUUCCCUGGAACGGGACGCCACAGAGGGUGAGAGCCCCGUCUGGUUGGACACCGAGCCUCUGUAAAGCUCCUUCGACGAGUCGAGUAGUUUGGGAAUGCUGCUCUAAAUGGGAGGUAUAUGUCUUCUAAAGCUAAAUACCGGCCAGAGACCGAUAGCGCACAAGUAGAGUGAUCGAAAGAUGAAAAGAACUUUGAAAAGAGAGUUAAACAGUACGUGAAAUUGUUGAAAGGGAAGCGCUUGUGACCAGACUUGGGCUUGGUUGAUCAUCCGGGGUUCUCCCCGGUGCACUCUUCCGGCUCAGGCCAGCAUCAGUUCGCCCUGGGGGACAAAGGCAGCGGGAAUGUGGCUCUCUCCGGGGAGUGUUAUAGCCCGCUGCGUAAUACCCUGUGGCGGACUGAGGUUCGCGCAUUCGCAAGGAUGCUGGCGUAAUGGUCAUCAGUGACCCGUCUUGAAACACGGACCAAGGAGUCGUCUUCGUAUGCGAGUGUUCGGGUGUCAAACCCCUACGCGAAAUGAAAGUGAACGCAGGUGAGAGCUUCGGCGCAUCAUCGACCGAUCCUGAUGUUAUCGGAUGGAUUUGAGUAAGAGCAUACGGGGCCGGACCCGAAAGAAGGUGAACUAUGCCUGUGUAGGGUGAAGCCAGAGGAAACUCUGGUGGAGGCUCGCAGCGGUUCUGACGUGCAAAUCGAUCGUCAAACAUGGGCAUGGGGGCGAAAGACUAAUCGAACCUUCUAGUAGCUGGGUUUCCGCCGAAG